CCUACGGGCGGCAGCAGUGGGGAAUAUUGGACAAUGGGGGGAACCCUGAUCCAGCCAUGCCGCGUGUGUGAAGAAGGCCCUCGGGUUGUAAAGCACUUUCAGUGAGGAAGAACGCCUGGUGGUUAAUACCCAUCAGGAAAGACAUCACUCACAGAAGAAGCACCGGCUAACUCCGUGCCAGCAGCCGCGGUAAUACGGAGGGUGCGAGCGUUAAUCGGAAUUACUGGGCGUAAAGCGCGCGUAGGUGGCUUGAUAAGCCGGUUGUGAAAGCCCCGGGCUCAACCUGGGAACGGCAUCCGGAACUGUCAAGCUAGAGGGCAGGAGAGGAAGGUAGAAUUCCCGGUGUAGCGGUGAAAUGCGUAGAGAUCGGGAGGAAUACCAGUGGCGAAGGCGGCCUUCUGGACUGACACUGACACUGAGGUGCGAAAGCGUGGGUAGCAAACAGGAUUAGAUACCCGAGUAGUC
rnacentral:rRNA from 1 species